rnacentral:tmRNA from 15 species
GACCUUUACAUUUUAAUCAAAUUAAGGCAUAAUGUUUAGUGCUAAUAUAGCUAUAGUAAUAAACGUAAUUUAGAAUAGAGGUUGCGGACUCGGGGGCAGUACCCGACGCCUCCACCAAUACUCGAUGAACUUCACAAAUUGGCUACUUCGUCCUAUAAGUACUGCGGUGCUCACGUAUUAAGUAUACGCUCCACUCCUUGUCUUAUGGACCCAUUGCUCUUUUUGAAGUUGAUCUUCGUAUACCAGUCGAUGUCAAUACUGCUUGUACUUUAAAAAGUGAAUUUUAUUUUGAGAAGUGAGCACCAGCAGCCUAUACUUAAUAGGUGAGGAUGCAAAUCCUUGAUAAGAUGAAAUUCAAUUUUUAAAGUACAAGCAGUAUUUUAUGGGGGCGAAAUAGGAUCGACGUGCCUAAUAAAAAGAUUGCUUUUACUCGGGAUGAUUCCGCCGAUGGCUUUUGCCAUAUGGGUCAAAACAAAGAAACGCAAACGAUAAUAAUCGUUCUGUAGAUUUAGCUCUAGCAGCUUAAUCCUACGCGGCUGGGGGUUUGCCGGGCAACAGAAAAACCCCACA